CCUUAGUCCUACCACUUGGCUCUACCCCUUUGUUUUGCAGGUGGCUGUGAAAGGGUAGUGUUGUCCCAUUUCUCUAUGUGAUGUAGGGGUAGUGGCCAUCUAGCCCUUUAACCAUAGAGUUUUCUGGACCCCCCUAGAAACAAAGGGGGUAGAUGGAAACUCCUGAAUGUUUUACGAACGGAUGAAGCAAAACAACAUGUGGACUGCUGCGGGUAAAAUUGCUGAUAAAUGGAUGCGUCUUUGACAUGAGGACACAGUGUACUAUUCCCCGGGUCAGAGUCAGGAGGGGGCGGAUGACAAAGAGCUACGAGAACACGUUACACUCCAGUACAGAGCUAAUGGAAAAACACAUUCAUCCGUAGAAUACUGGAAUCAGGAGCAGUGGAAAAAGAAACAAGUGGAGAAACGGGUGAAUCCCAGAGGACGCGACGAGCCCCUGCACAGGAAAAAAACGACAUCACGUAUCAUGUUUCUUUUCUUCAUCCAUUUAAACACCUAAGACUGUGUUUUCACACUGGAAGACAGAAUUUGAAUACUAUUUGGCAAUAUAUGCAUCAGAUUAAAGAAUGAUAAAUGA